UGUUAGUGUACGGGUUAGGAUUAGGGUACGGAUUAGGGUAAGGCUUCGGGUAAGGGUAGGGUUAGGGUUAGGGUUAGGGAACAGGUACUGUUUAGGGUACAUGUUAGUGUACUACAACGGUUUAGGGUUAGUGUAUGUGUUAGGGUAAGUGUUUUUGUUAGUGUACAGUUUAGGAUUAGGGUACGGCUUAGUGUAAGGCUUCACAUAAGUGUUAGGUUUAGGGUUAGGGCUAGGGAAUGGGUACAGUUUCGGGUACAGGUUAGGGUACGACAACUGUUUAGGGUUAGUGCAUGUGUUAGCGUAAGGGUUA